ACUCAAAUGAAUUGACGGGGACCCGCACAAGCGGUGGAGCAUGUGGUUUAAUUCGAGGCAACGCGAAGAACCUUACCAGCUCUUGACAUGUCCAGUAUGGUCGGCAGAGAUGCCUUCCUUCACCUCGGGUGGCUGGAACACAGAUGUUGCAUGGCUGUCGUCAGCUCGUGUCGUGAGAUGUUGGGUUAAGUCCCGCAACGAGCGCAACCCUCGCCCUUAGUUGCCAUCAUUAAGUUGGGAACUCUAAGGGAACCGCCGGUGUCAAGCCGGAGGAAGGUGGGGACGACGUCAAGUCAUCAUGGCUCUUACGGGCUGGGCUACACACGUGCUACAAUGGCGGUGACAGUGGGCAGCGACCUUGCAAGGGGAAGCUAAUCUCUAAAAGCCGUCUCAGUUCGGAUUGUCCUCUGCAACUCGAGGGCAUGAAGUCGGAAUCGCUAGUAAUCGUACAUCAGCACGGUACGGUGAAUACGUUCCCGGGUCUUGUACACACCGCCCGU
rnacentral:rRNA from 1 species